rnacentral:rRNA from 1 species
CCUACGGGUGGCAGCAGUGAGGAAUAUUGGUCAAUGGGCGCGAGCCUGAACCAGCCAAGUAGCGUGAAGGAUGACUGCCCUACGGGUUGUAAACUUCUUUUAUAAAGGAAUAAAGUGAGGCACGUGUGCCUUUUUGUAUGUACUUUAUGAAUAAGGAUCGGCUAACUCCGUGCCAGCAGCCGCGGUAAUACGGAGGAUCCGAGCGUUAUCCGGAUUUAUUGGGGUUAAAGGGAGCGUAGAUGGGUUGUUAAGUCAGUUGUGAAAGUUUGCGGCUCAACCGUAAAAUUGCAAUUGAUACUGGCAGCCUUGAGUGCAGUUGAGGUACGCGGAAUGCGUGGUGUAGCGGUGAAAUGCAUAGAUAUCACGCAGAACCCCGAUUGCGAAGGCAGCGUACCGGCCGGUCACUGACGCUGAGGCACGAAAGCGCGGGUAUCGAACAGGAUUAGAUACCCCUGUAGUC